rnacentral:ncRNA from 2 species
GUCAAAGUGAAGAAAUUCAACCAAGCGC